rnacentral:lncRNA from 1 species
GGCCCCUCCCACAGACGGCGGCGGCCUCCCUAGACCACGCCUCAGCCCGUAGUCCACGCCCCAGUUUUCCUACAUCCUGCAAUGGUUCCUGAGACGGAAAGUGGGCCCUUUUUCCAGACAGAUUUCCGCCUGCGAGCAGCUAUGCGAAGACAGAGGGGGGUUGGGAAGGCGAAGGCCUCACGAGCUCCUCACAGACUUCUAGUACCUUCCAGCUUCCGAAGUAACCCGAUUCCCACCCCAGAAGGAAGUUAUCCCACCUCUGUGGGAAAAAAAAAAAAAAAAGCCAUCCAGUGAGGAUGCCCAAGUCCUGAAGUGGAAAAUAGAAUGUGAGAUGGCCUCAUACCUAGGUCCCCAAGCAUAGUCAGCGACUGGGAGGGAGGGGGGCUGCAUCCAGGACCUGUAUCCAUUGACUUUUCUAGAACUGGAAGUUUCUAGUUUGGCUGCCGACAAAUGCUUUUGUUUUUGUUUUUUUGAGACAGGAUCUUUCUGUAUAGCUGUGGCUGUCCUGGUACUCACUUUGUAGAGACCAGGCUGGCCUCAAACUCUACCUGCCUCUGCCUGCCAAGUGCUGGGAUUAAAGGCGUGCGCCACCACUGCAGGUGAGGUUCACACUCAAAUUCUUAACUAAGGCAGUUAGGCUGCUCACCUGAGCAAUGUCACUGACCUGGUCUCUCAUGACUGUUUUUCCUUUUUAAAAUGGUUUACUUAUUCCCAUUUCAUGCGCAUUGGAGUUUGCCUGCAUGCAUGUCUGUGUGAAGCCAUCAGAUCUUGGAGUACUACAGGAAGUUGUGAGGGGCCACGUGGGUGCUGGGAUUUGAACCUCGGUCCUCUGGAAGAGCCAUCUCUCCAACCUAAGUGUUUUUCUACUGCGCUUAUUACAGAUGGAGAACAAGUGUUGUUGUUGGCUACAGAGGUUGGACAUAAUCAUCAUCCUGCGGUCUCAUCGUUCCUGGGACACUGGCCUGCUGCAGAGGGAGGACACCAAGAUGGUCAGUUGAAAGUCCUGAGUCCAUGAGACACUCCAGGAACACAAGGCAAGUGAUUAAAACACAAAAAUAUAUUUUGGCGGUUUAGGGGGGUGCAGGGUCUC